GGGAAUUCUGAUGUGUAUGUACUACCUAUCUGAUGAGGAAAUUCAGCAUUAUUGCGUCAGAUGAUGGCGUAAUGGUGUGCACUUUUCUUCUAGUAAGACGUUGCGAUCCAUUAGAAAAGUUUUAUGAACUCUGUAUAUGCGCCCGGAUAAGAUUUUAUACUUUUAGCGAGUAACGUGGCUUUGUUGUUAUGUGAGUGCGUGUAAACUAUGUGGUGCUCUUACAUAUGUCAGAUGGUAUUAAGACUAAGUGUCACAUACUCUCUCGUGGAGUGAUAUCUCUCGUGGAUAAGAUGUGUACUUUAUCCGCAACUUUUUAUAUUUAAGAUCCCCUCGAGACCCCUCGUGAAACACAGCCCAAAAUCUCUAUCGUGUAUGCGACUCUGUGAUAUUAUUAACACCUAUACGAGAUGUGAGUUUAUCGUGUUAGUGAUAUUACGAGUGAUUUUAUGUGCACUAUUUUUCUAUCCCCGGAUAUCUAAGUGUAAAUACGUGCUCUACAAAUAUAUACCGUGCGCAUACGCUCUGAGACCCAAGAUAUGGAGAUCUAUGCGAGAUCGUGUUGGUCUCGGGGGACCUGAGAUGGGAGAGUGUAGCAAUCAGACGUGCACUCGAUGUCAGAUGUGUAUAUAGGGCAAAGACUCUCGCAUAUCUAUAUUGUCUUCCCUCAGA
rnacentral:rRNA from 1 species